CGACGGAUCGCAUGGCCUUUGUGCUGGCGACGCAUCAUUCAAAUUUCUGCCCUAUCAACUUUCGAUGGUAGGAUAGUGGCCUACCAUGGUGGUAACGGGUGACGGAGAAUUAGGGUUCGAUUCCGGAGAGGGAGCCUGAGAAACGGCUACCACAUCCAAGGAAGGCAGCAGGCGCGCAAAUUACCCAAUCCUGACACGG
rnacentral:ncRNA from 1 species